rnacentral:tRNA from 1 species
UGGUGGGCCUUCAGGGACUCGAACCCCGGACCAACCGGUUAUGAGCCGGUUGCUCUAACCAACUGAGCUAAAGGCCC